rnacentral:tRNA from 1 species
GGCCCGGUAGCUCAGCUGGAUAGAGCAGUUGCCUUCUAAGCAUCUGGCCGGGGGUUCGAAUCCUCCCCGGGUCGCCA